GUGCUUGCUUCAGCAGCACAUAUACUAAAAUUGGAAUGAAACAGAGAAAAUUAUCAUGGCCCCUGCGCAUGGGAUGCUGGAAAUUGAACUGCAUACCAGACAAAU